CUUUCUUUCUUUCCCUUCCUCCUGAGCGCGCGGGGUGCAGCGGCGUGCCGCGACGCAAUCGCGCGCGGCUGGGAGGGGAACGUUGCCGUUGUCACGUGGGAAUGUUUGUGUUCUCUGGCAGCGCGCUGAGCAGGGCGCGCGGGGAGAGACUCCGCAGGCUUGGCCUUGCAGCCUGUCCUGCGAUUUGUGCGCGUUCAGUCGCGACGGCCCCGUUUACUGCCUCGCGGUUCUCUCCUUUGCCCCUAGCACAGAGGCAGCACUCCAGGGUGUGAACAAAGAUUAUAAAAACGUACACCCCAGACUACGCAAGUUUGACGACGGCCAUUCCGACUGCCUCCACAGUUGUUCAGAGGCAGAGAGAGAGGCGAGGCUGCGGCGACUCUGUCGCAGCCACCUGCCACUCACGGUGGCUCAUGCGUGUCCGCCACUUCUUGGUGGCACACACAGCAGACGCGUGUUGCGUCACUUCACAGGAAUUUCCCCCAAACCGGCGUGACGCAAAGAUCUUCGUUAACCGGUAACGCGAGCGUUCUUCCCCAGGUACUGCCACCUGCUAACUCGAUGUUUAAUAUACUUGAAAUGAAAGUGAGGUGUGUAAACUCUGGCGUGAGCAGACGGUUGCGGUGAAGAAGGACAACCCUUCCUUUCUUCCUUUUGACUGGAAAAGUUUCACCUCUUCCAACAUUCGCCCCACCGCGUCACUCAAAAUCUGAUCAGACGACCGUGGAGAGGGGCGGAUCCCGGAACCCGAGUCUGUCCAAUGAGCUGCAUGGAGGGUCAGGGCCUCGGGUCACCCGGAGGGUUCCAGUAAAGGUGAUGUCGUGUCUCCCAGCGCGGGAAUCGCUCCCAUCUGCACGACUCAGAGUCGCUGACUCACAGAGCUGCACAGGAGAAGUUAUCCUCCACUGCACAAGAAAGUUUACCGUAAAACACAGAGAGAGAGAGAGAGGGAGAGAGAGAGUCAAGAAGGAGAUUUAAGGCAGCAGUUGUUGGGGAGAGACCGCACAAGAGAGCGCUUCCGCAUGACAUGUGAUGUGAACCUGCCGUCUACAAGCCAUUCACAAGACUCUGGCUCCACAAGAACGCAGGCAAAAACAACACACAAGUCAACGGGCUGUGUCCUUCAAACACACACACACACACACACACAGUUCCUUUAA